UACGUAGGUGGCAAGCGUUGUCCGGAAUUAUUGGGCGUAAAGAGCAUGUAGGCGGGCUUUUAAGUCUGACGUGAAAAUGCGGGGCUUAACCCCGUAUGGCGUUGGAUACUGGAAGUCUUGAGUGCAGGAGAGGAAAGGGGAAUUCCCAGUGUAGCGGUGAAAUGCGUAGAUAUUGGGAGGAACACCAGUGGCGAAGGCGCCUUUCUGGACUGUGUCUGACACUGAGGCUCGAAAGCAUGGGUAGCGAACAGG
rnacentral:rRNA from 1 species